UUCUCAUAACCAUAAUUUACUUUUAAAUUCUUAAAUCAUGAUAUUAAACCGAGCUGACGUAGUUUUAUUGUAAUGAAAUUGUAGGCCUGAGAUUCUUCUGCCUAAACGUUAGGUUCUUAUGCGAUAAGUUAUUUUUUGACCUAAAAUAUUUUAAAAAAUGAGAUAAGCUCAUCAGAAAACAAAUUAUGUAAUUAACAAAAAAAAAUUUUAGAAAAUUGUUUAAGGUCGAAAAUUAUUAAUUCGAUCAAGAAUAUAAAUUUUAUUUUUUCAUAUAAUAUUUUUUAAAUAAUUUUCAUACAAACCAUGCGCUAGGCGCAGGUCUUAUCCUGUUAAAGAUAUAUUUAUAGUUGCAAAUUUUGACAUAGAUAAUGUAACAGAUAUGAAGCUAACU
rnacentral:lncRNA from 1 species